rnacentral:rRNA from 1 species
UACGGAGGGUGCGAGCGUUGUCCGGAAUCACUGGGCGUAAAGGGCGCGUAGGCGGCUUUGCAAGUUAGAGGUGAAAGCCCAGGGCUUAACCCUGGAAUUGCCUUUAAAACUGCAUCGCUAGAAUUGUGGAGAGGUGAGUGGAAUUCCGAGUGUAGAGGUGAAAUUCGUAGAUAUUCGGAAGAACACCAGUGGCGAAGGCGACUCACUGGACACAUAUUGACGCUGAGGUGCGAAAGCGUGGGGAGCAAACAGG